GAUGAACGCUGGCGGCGUGCCUAAUACAUGCAAGUCGAGCGAACAGACGAGGAGCUUGCUCCUCUGACGUUAGCGGCGGACGGGUGAGUAACACGUGGAUAACCUACCUAUAAGACUGGGAUAACUUCGGGAAACCGGAGCUAAUACCGGAUAAUAUAUUGAACCGCAUGGUUCAAUAGUGAAAGACGGUUUUGCUGUCACUUAUAGAGGUAUCCGCGCCGCAUUAGCUAGUUGGUAAGGUAACGGCUUACCAAGGCAACGAUGCGUAGCCGACCUGAGAGGGUGAUCGGCCACACUGGAACUGAGACACGGUCCAGACUCCUACGGGAGGCACCAGUAGGGAAUCUUCCGCAAUGGGCGAAAGCUUGACGGGGCAACGCCGCGUGAGUGAUGAAGGUCUUCGGAUCGUAAAACUCUGUUAUUAGGGAAGAACAAAUGUGUAAGUAACUAUGCACGUAGUGACGGUACCUAAUCAGAAAGCCACGGCUAACUACGUG
rnacentral:rRNA from 1 species